UGGGGAAUAUUGCACAAUGGGGGAAACCCUGAUGCAGCGACGCCGCGUGAGUGAAGAAGUAUUUCGGUAUGUAAAGCUCUAUCAGCAGGGAAGAAAAACAUGACGGUACCUGGCUAAGAAGCCCCGGCUAACUACGUGCCAGCAGCCGCGGUAAUACGUAGGGGCAAGCGUUAUCCGGAUUUACUGGGUGUAAAGGGAGCGUAGACGGCAUGGCAAGUCUGAAGUGAAAGCCCGCGGCUCAACUGCGGGACUGCUUUGGAAACUGUGGUGCUUGAGUGCAGGAGAGGUAAGUGGAAAUUCCUAGUGUAGCGGUGAAAUGCGUAGAUAUUAGGAGGAACACCAGUGGCGAAGGCGGCUUACUGGACUGUAACUGACGUUGAGGCUCGAAAGCGUGGGGAGCAAACAGGAUUAGAUACCCUGGUAGU
rnacentral:rRNA from 1 species